UGGGGUAUCGCCAAGCGGUAAGGCCUCGGUUUUUGGUACCGAUAUCGGGGGUUCGAAUCCCUCUACCCCAU
rfam:Sulfurovum sp. FS06-10 Sequence0000001223, whole genome shotgun sequence.